UGGUAAUGCCGGAUGCUCCGGUUGGAUGCAUGUCCUUCCGGGAAAGGUUCCAUCGGUAUGGGAUGGGGUCGCGUCCUAUCAGCUUGAUGGCGGGGUAACGGCCCACCAUGGCUUCGACGGGUAGCCGGCCUGAGAGGGCGACCGGCCACAUUGGGACUGAGAUACGGCCCAGACUCCUACGGGAGGCAGCAGUGGGGAAUAUUGCACAAUGGGCGCAAGCCUGAUGCAGCGACGCCGCGUGCGGGAUGGAGGCCUUCGGGUUGUAAACCGCUUUUGAUCGGGAGCAAGCCCUUCGGGGUGAGUGUACCUUUCGAAUAAGCACCGGCUAACUACGUGCCAGCAGCCGCGGUAAUACGUAGGGUGCAAGCGUUAUCCGGAAUUAUUGGGCGUAAAGGGCUCGUAGGCGGUUCGUCGCGUCCGGUGUGAAAGCCCAUCGCUUAACGGUGGGUCUGCGCCGGGUACGGGCGGGCUGGAGUGCGGUAGGGGAGACUGGAAUUCCCGGUGUAACGGUGGAAUGUGUAGAUAUCGGAAAAGAACACCA
rnacentral:rRNA from 1 species